UGUAGAAAGGAAGUGGGGAAGAAGAGCUAAAGUACCUGAUCACAGACUGAAACGUAAAAAACAACAUUUUUCAUGGCCAUCACUGCAAAAUAUGUGGGUCCUAAGCUGAGCAGGUGUUGUCUUAUGGCGUAAUGUAGCCGAUGUGGAUGGACUCCUCAGUUGCACAAGUCACUGAACUCAGAUGGAAACAUCUGGGAUUUCCUCAGACAUCUGAUGAGUGUUUACUAUGAUGACUCUGAAAGAGCUCUGCAAAAGAAUUCCAAUGUGCUUUGACUGUUGGUUUUAUGCACAAAUGGCAAAUAAAGAAACCUUGAACCUUGACUCCAAGAAAUGAGAAUCCUCUAACUCUCUCCAUAGUGAUGGUGAGACCAAGAAAUGUGACACCUCCAACUCUCUCCAUAUCCAUCUCUGCUAGUGUAGACAGGAGUGUGGUCUGAAGGCUACAACCAGCUUGGCUCCCUAAACUUGCUCACAUUAACAGUGAUUAUUGACCUGGCACCACUGUGUCAGAAAGCAAAUGUGUUCUCUGUAAGCUGAGUUGUAAGAGCCAAUCUAAGAAAGUUAAAGUUUUGAUUUAA